rnacentral:lncRNA from 1 species
AAAUAUAGAAAACAUGAAAAAAUACAAAAUUAAUUUUAUAAAUUAGACACAAAAAUUACAUCGAUUUAUACACUUCGUCAACUAUUUCAACUUCAAAGUGAAUGAAAUCUUCCUCCUAUCUAGGGAAACUAAAAAUUACACAUUAGACGCAAAAAUUACAUUAAAAUUCGUGCUAACCAUGAACAUCCUAAGUUUAGCAUUAAUCUUACACAUAUAAAUUAGAUUUUACAACU